CCUGCUCUGUGAACCCCCUGACCCUGGCUGUGGGGCUGAGAGAGGGGAGCAUGGGGGUCAGCCUUGGUAAUCACUUCUCGCUUGUGGGUACAAAACUACUGCUGUAGACACUCAAGAGAGGCCAUCUUCAAGGCUCCGAAACAGCAAAGCUGCAGAGGAAUCGAGGACUUAAAGCUGUUUUGGAAUACACAACAAAUGAUCAGAGGGGACACGUGGUAUUUGCAUGGAAAACAGAACUUGCCCUAGGGAAAAGGACGACAAUCCCUUCACCUUUCAAUCAGCAGCAGAGGGAACCCAAACCUUUUAAACGUCUGUCACUCAUCCUUCCAUUAGGAUGCCCUCAGCCCAGAGCC
rnacentral:lncRNA from 1 species